GAUGAACGCUGACAGAAUGCUUAACACAUGCAAGUCGAUGGGGAAGUGGUGCUUGCACCAUGGCAACCAUGGCGGACGGGUGAGUAACGCGUAAGGGACUUACCUGCAGGACUGGGAUAACAGGGGGAAACUCCUGACAAGACCGGAUAAUGUCAUGGAGCUGCAUGGCUUUAUGAUGAAAGGAGACGCCUGCGGAGAGCCUUGCGUCCUAUUAGCUAGUUGGUGAGGUAAUGGCUCACCAAGGCGAAGAUAGGUAGCCGGCCUGAGAGGGUGGACGGCCACAAGGGGACUGAGAUACGGCCCUUACUCCUACGGGAGGCCGCAGUGGGGAAUAUUGGACAAUGGGGGCAACCCUGAUCCAGCAAUUCUGUGUGCACGAAGAAGGUUUUCGGAUUGUAAAGUGCUUUCAGCAGGGAAGAAGUAAGUGACGGUACCUGCAGAAGAAGCGACGGCUAAAUACGUG
rnacentral:rRNA from 1 species